UUUAUAACAUGGACCACAGAGGUAAGUGAUUUCUAACAAAGAGAAUUAAUUAUUUAUCAAGAUAAUGUACAAUAUUUAGCUGCCUCUUUCUGUCCAUAGGUUUUCUUUACCUAGUCAUCCUGCCGCACCUCCUGAACAUCUGAAAGAACCUUGGGUAUACAUGAGGAAAGCACAGACUUCAGUGUGCUGAUUUUUCUCACAACUUCAGUCUUGGAUGAUCUAUGGUCCCCACUUCUUUGUGAAUCAGCUAACUGAGGCUAAGCUUAGCGAAGUAAAUCUCCCAUGUGGAUCUGGAUGGACUUAGCGCACCACUAUUGACUGGACACAGGCUUUCAGACAGUAAAUGAAACUGAUAACAGUAAUUGACAAGUCAACCAAACAACCAAACAAACUUCCUAUCCCCCUCAAACACAAGGAGCAGUUUCCAACACAUGUUGAAGGUAA